AAGAUUAUAGAUCUGGUCCAUCUGGAGAGGCAGCUAGCCAUGUUAGAGCUAGACUUGUCGCUAAUAUUGUUCUUCCUUCCAGCAUUACUUCUCUUGUUCUUCGUUUACCUCGAGUCCACUUUAAUUCGCUAAAACACACACACACACACACACACAUAUGUAUGUAUAUAUCAGCUACUCUUUAUGACGUUGCUGAUCAACGUUUUGCGAGCUGGGGUACUUUCGAGUGGUUCCGGCUAGCCUUGGUGGUCCAAGAAGGCUUUGAACCGGCCGCCUUAAUUUCAAAGUGUUUCUAUAAUCAAAUAUGGAAGGUGAC
rnacentral:lncRNA from 1 species